rnacentral:rRNA from 1 species
ACUGAGUGGCGGACGGGUGAGUAACGCGUGAGCAACCUGCCCUUCGGAGGGGGAUAGUGUCUGGAAACGGACAGUAAUACCGCAUAACGUAUUUUUACCGCAUGAUAAAAAUACCAAAACUGAGGUGCCGAAGGAUGGGCUCGCGUUGGAUUAGAUAGUUGGUGGGGUAACGGCCUACCAAGUCGACGAUCCAUAGCCGGACUGAGAGGUUGAACGGCCACAUUGGGACUGAGACACGGCCCAGACUCCUACGGAAGGCAGCAG